rnacentral:rRNA from 1 species
CUAAGAAUAUUCCGCAAUGGACGAAAGUCUGACGGAGCGACGCCGCGUGGAUGAUGAAGGCCGGAAGGUUGUAAAAUCCUUUUAUGACUGAGGAAUAAGUGAAGUGAGGGAAACGCUUCAUGGUGACUGUAGGUCAUGAAUAAGCAACGGCUAAUUACGUGCCAGCAGCCGCGGUAACACGUAAGUUGCGAGCGUUGUUCGGAAUUAUUGGGCGUAAAGGGUAUGUAGGCGGUUCUGCAAGUCUGGUGUGAAAUGCCGGGGCUCAACCCCGGAACUGCGUUGGAAACUGCAGGACUUGAAUCGCUGAGGGGCAGCCAGAAUUCCAGGUGUAGGGGUGAAAUCUGUAGAUAUCUGGAAGAAUACCAAUGGCGAAGGCAGGCUGCCAGCAGAUGAUUGACGCUGAGGUACGAAGGUGCGGGGAGCAAACAGG